CACGUAGUUGGCCGGUGCUUCUUCUGCUCCUACCGUCACUUUCGCUUCGUCAGAGCUGAAAGAGGUUUACAACCCGAAGGCCGUCAUCCCUCACGCGGCGUCGCUGCGUCAGGCUUUCGCCCAUUGCGCAAUAUUCCCCACUGCUGCCUCCCGUAGGAGUCUGGGCCGUGUCUCAGUCCCAGUGUGGCCGGUCGCCCUCUCAGGCCGGCUACCCGUCGUCGCCUUGGUAGGCUAUUACCCCACCAACAAGCUGAUAGGCCGCGGGCCCAUCCUCAGCCGAAAAACUUUCCACCCCACACCAUGCGAUGCGAAGUCCUAUCCAGUAUUAGCACCGGUUUCCCGGAGUUAUCCCAGAGCUGAGGGCAGGUUGCCCACGUGUUACUCACCCGUUCGCCACUCGAGUACCCGCAAGCGGGCCUUUCCGUUCGACUUGCAUGUGUUAAGCACGCCGCCAGCGUUCGUCCUGUAGCCAGGAUCAAACUCU
rnacentral:rRNA from 1 species